GAUGAACGCUGGCGGCGUGCUUAAUACAUGCAAGUCGAGCGAACAGACGCGGCUUUUGUUGGUUUGACGUGUGGGGCGGACGUGUGAGACACGUGUGGAUACUCUACUUGUCUUUCUGGGAUCUCCUCGGGACUGCGGAGAUUAUCGGGGAUAAUAUACUGCUGCGCGUGGUGGGUUGGUGAAAGUCGGCGUUUGUGGCUGGAUUCGAGGGUUAUCAGCUUGUUUGGGGGGUUGUGGCUUACCAAGGCUUUGACGGGUAGCCGGCCUGAGCGGGUGAGCGGCCACAUUGGGACUGAGAUAAGGCACAGACUCCUACGGGAGCCAGCAGUGGGGAAUAUUGACCAAUGGGCGGAACGCUGAUGCAGAAACGCCGCGUGCGGGAUGACGGCCUUAGGGUUGUAAACCGAUUUUGCCUGUGACGAAGCGUGAGUGAAGGUAAUGGGUAAAGAAGCCCAGGCUAACUACGUG
rnacentral:rRNA from 1 species